AUUGAACGCUGGCGGCAUGCCUUACACAUGCAAGUCGAACGGCAGCGGACCUUCGGGUGCCGGCGAGUGGCGAACGGGUGAGUAAUAUAUCGGAACGUACCUUUCAGUGGGGGACAACGUAGCGAAAGUUACGCUAAUACCGCAUAUUCUGUGAGCAGGAAAGCAGGGGAUCGCAAGACCUUGCGCUGAUUGAGCGGCCGAUAUCAGAUUAGCUAGUUGGUGAGGUAAAGGCUCACCAAGGCGACGAUCUGUAGCGGGUCUGAGAGGAUGAUCCGCCACACUGGAACUGAGACACGGUCCAGACUCCUACGGGAGGCAGCAGUGGGGAAUUUUGGACAAUGGGCGCAAGCCUGAUCCAGCCAUGCCGCGUGAGUGAAGAAGGCC
rnacentral:rRNA from 1 species